GAUGGAGCUCGGGUAGGGUGACCAGGUGUCUGGUUUUGGGCCGGAACACCCAAUCAAAAAGGAAUCCUGACAGGUCCGGUCAGCACAGUGACCAGGCUGUUGAAUAUCCGGUUUGCAGCGCCACAGCAAGACUGGCAGGCUCCCUGCUAGCGCUGCAGCUCCCACGUCAGGAAGCAGCGGGCAUGUCUGGCUCCUAGCCUUGGGGGCUGCCGGAGUGGGGUGGUCCACAUGCUGCCCUGCCCACACACAAAGUACACAGCUGUGUAGGGCACCAGGAAAUUUGGGGCACAAAUUUCCUGGUGCCCUGCACAGCUGCGUGUUGCUCCUGCCCCUGCUCUGCCACUGCCCUGCCUCUUCCCGCCCCCUGCUCCAACCCAGCCUUGCCCCCACUCCCCUGAGGAGUGUGGGCUGGGCUGGGCCUGCACUCACCGGCAGUGCAGAGGCCUGGCCCCAGCCAUGCCGCUGGUGAGUGCUGCGGGGAGGUUGCCUGCCAAGCCAGCCCUUCCCCGUGGAAGCCUAGGACCAGCUCCCCUCUCCCCGGAGGCCUGGGGCCCCACAUGCACACCCCACGGAGGGGCUGCGUAGGGCCCCAGAAUAGCUAGGGACAACACUGCCCGCAGGCAUAGCUCCCAUUGGCUGGGUCAGGGUAGGGGAGGAACUAGCGUCACUCGCGAGCGCUCAGAAGGCAGCUGUUCAGGGAUCGCAUGGCGCACGCUUCUUCCGUUGCUGCCUGGCCCUCUUCUCCUCGUGCGGCUGGGCUCAAGCUGCAGCACGUGCCCUGCCGUGAACCACGCGGUCUGGCAGCACCCAGGAGUUGGAGCAGCCUUUGGCACAGUGACCUUGAAAGGUGCCCCUUCCACACCAGUUGAAAGUCUGACUGACAUCAGGCAAAAAAAGAAGCAAACUAGGAAGGAUAUCCUCUGUGAGAUCCUCCAGUCCUUUACAGCCGUGAACAGAGGCUGGAGGGGCUGAAUGUACAAGAUCAUGGAGGACUAAGAACUGCUGGAGGAGAGUCAAAUGGACUGAGAGGGAUGCACUAUGAUAUUAUGGCUUUGAUCAGGCAAAGGCAGGAAUUGAUCCUUGGUCUCCUUUGUCUCAGAUGAGUACACCGACUACCUGGCUAAAAGUUAUAAGAUCAACAGUGGUAGUGACUCCGCUACUAGCUAGAUUUUGAUUUGGACUUGAUCACGUAGGUAGCCUCUAAGCACCCUUACUGGAUUAGGACUCGCAUGUGAGACAGAUAGUGAAUGAUUAUCUUCCCCCAGUUCAUGGAUCUCAUUGGGGCAUAGGCAGGAAAUAGGUGCCCAGAUGCCUUAAGUGAGGCAGCAGUGCACAUGCCCAAAGCCAGAAACUUAGGUGCUAAGGGAAAUCUUAGUGCAGUAAUUUUGAGUUAAGUGAGUUUAGGUGACUCCAGUACUAGGCAGCAGCUGAGUGAGAGUUUUGUGGAUGACAGUGAGCCUAAAAUGGGAACUUAGGUGCCUAAAUAUUUUUGUUGAUCUGGGCCACAGUCCCUACCUCAUGAUGUGUAAUCUAAAUCCACUGGAUUGUUUUGUAUGCCUGCUUUUGAUAUCACCCCUCUGCUGUGGCCCCCUUCACACUAGAUUAGCAACCCGAAAGUACCCAAAACUGGCUUAAAUCCCUACUCACCACUGGGGAUUAUCUUUGGGAUGGGAGCUUCUUUGGGCACCAUGAGACUGAUGGAAUGGGUGUGAGCAGGUAUGUCCUUUAGCUCUUCUGGGGUGGCCGAGCAUCCAUAAGGAAGUGUUCAAAGCUGCCAUAAAUUAGAGUAACACCAAGCAGUGCUUUAAUGGACAGAAUCUGUCACAACUCUAGUUGGGCUCAGAAUUCAGAAGGCAUAAAGAUGGCUUAAAGCCACCUUUCCCCACUCCACUUUACUGUGCUUCCUGAGCCAUUCUCACUAAAUCAUAUGGCUGUAUCGGCAAACACCUAAUCUAAAGAAGCCCCAUUUGAUGGUCUAAAGAUGAAAUAAUGAUUUAUAAUUGACUUUUUUGUGAUAUCUGUGAUCAUUUACCACAGGGAUAUAAAAUAAUUCCCUUUGCUGAUGCCUAUUUGCCAGACAUAAUAAAACUCACUAUGUUGCAAGGAGGCCUAUCAUGUGGCUUGUGUUUUCCAUAGAUUGGAAAACAGCAAGAGGUAAUUUAAAUAAGUGUUAAUAUUAAAAAUUCCUAGUUCCUCAGCCAGGAGGCUAAGGAAGAUUUAAUAUAAGAGAAGAAAGCUCCAAAGAAAACAAAAUUAAACAAAUGAGUUUUUGAAAGUCUAAACUUACAAGGUCUCUCUCUUCAACUAUUAUCACUAUCAGAUAAAACCAGUGAAUCUUCAUAUGUAAAUAUAUCAAUACUAGCAUUUUUUGUUGGGAUGUUUAUCUUGAGCCUAACAGGUUGUGGAAGUGGAAAAAGGGAUAAAGGGAAUUUGAGUGCAGACAUCUUAGUUUUCUUAGGAAUAGAACAAGUCAGGCUAACUCUAAUAACGCGAGUCUUUAAGGCAGGGUCUGGGCAAGUGGGAAGCGAGUUGGAAAACUGUAAGAGAUGCUUUUUUGACCUUGUGUUAGAUAAGAAGAAUGCAGACUGUAGCAGGAACUGCUUUCAAAGCAAGAUAUCAGGAAGGAAUAUAUAUAAACAAGACGCAGCAGUUGAUCAUUUGUAUGUAACAAAAGGUAUAAAUGCUUGCCCUAAUUGUUUAUCGGGUGGCAACCUGCCUAGGGAGGGGGAAUCCUUGUCCAUGCGCACUCUCCCCCUUGCAAUUGCUUGAGAAUAAAUUGUCUCUGACUUGUUGCGCAAACAACCUAAGAGUGAAGACUGCGUUUUCUUCCACAAGGUGAAUGGCAGAACUGUGCCACGUCAGCAUGGGGCUGUCCGUCCAGGAGACAGCCCGUGUGCGGUCGGGCUUUUGCGCGGGUCUCUGGAUCAAGAGCUGUGAAGGAUCCAGUGACACCAUCAACUUACCUGCCAUCCAGGGUCCUGUGGUCCCCCAUCCGGCAGCUUUGGUCCACCAGCUUGUCGCCAUCCUGCAGCCGAGAUCCAGUGUUCCUCCCCAAAGGCCAGCGUUUGGCCCGAGGGUAGAGGUCCUGGACCCACCACUCACUUCCAUCUGACCUGCCCAUAGAUGACGUCAGAUUAGCAGUAGGCAAUACAGGGGAUUUGAUUUGUUUUGUUGUUGUUGUUGUUGUUGCCUGGGGAGGGGUCUAUUGGGCCUGAGCUUCAAGCUCCUUUGUUGCAGUCCACUGUUUGCUGGGUUUUUAUGUGUUUGCGUGUGGUUGUCCCCUUGCCCUUUUCAUGUAACCAACUCUUAAUAUAACGUUUACCUGUUUCAAA